CGAUCUUCCCUUGUUUUACGGACGACCAUUUUAAGAAGCACGUUUUUCCCGAACGGACGGACAGAGAGUUACAUUAGAGACAAACAAGGUUACGGAAUAGUUAUUUAAGAUUUUAAAGACUGAAGAAGAAAGAUCGGUAGCUCAGGACGUUGAAAAUCGAUUCUCAAUUUUCAGACUACAGAAUCGAUCCCUGAAUUAUCACCAAAUUACGAUCUUACAAAUCGAUUUUCACUACGCCAUGCCGUUAGAAGUGAAGCUACGUAUCGCCAUUAACGAGAACGCAAGGGGGGGGGAAAUAGAAUGCAUAAGAAUCCAUAAGAAAACCAAAAGAUGAAGUAUGUGAUGUCUUUCCUCCAGAAUAUCAAGCAAGAGAUCAUCAUCCGCGGUUAUUCAGUUUAUCGAUAGUGAAGAAAGCCGCAAACAACUUAACCAAGGUAA
rnacentral:misc_RNA from 1 species